AACCCUACCGUCAUUCACUUUCCUAUUUCUUAACCUAACCUACGGGAGAAAGGGAAAUAAGGAAAGAAAGGGAAAAUAAGGAAAACGGGGGAAGAAAGGGGAAAUAAGAAAAGAAAGGGGAAAUAAGGAAGGCAGGGGGGAACUUGAGAAGUGGGGAACUGAGAAAGGAAGAAAGGGAAAGCGAGUGACGAGAGAAAGAGAAGCGGAGAGGGAGAAGAAGAAGAAAAGUGAGUUGAGAGGAAGAAGUCGCCGCCACUGCGGUCCGCGUUCACGUCGUCGUCGUCGUAGCGUCGCCAUCCUUGCGCCAGUCGCUGCCGCUGUCGGCGAUGAAGCCCGUCGCCGCCAUUCGCAUCGCCGCCACCGCCAGAACUACACGCCGUCGCUGGAGUCUGAACGCCGCUGCAACCACCACGUGUUAUCAUCUUCAGAUCCGCCGAAGGAAACUGUUGCGGAGCAGUCGUCCCCGCCACGAAGUCCGUCGCCGUUGCUGCUGCUGUCAGCGCCGUUGUCUAUGGGUGAGGCAGAGGAGAGAGAUCCGGGAGGAAGGGAGGAUCGGGACCUGUCCAGCCACCGCGCACAGUUGCCGCUCCUAUCGCCGGCCAUCCUCAUCAAAUCCGCCGCCUCCGAAGCUUCGGGCCACGAUUUCUGACCGUGCCUCUGCCGCCGGAGAGCGCUGCUGCCACGGAAACCGCCUUUGAAGCCUGUGUAUGUUAGAAACUGUCGCCGGAACCCCUGUCUUAUUGGUUUGGAUUCCGGUAUUUGCGCGUUGUAAUUAAGGUUGUUAUUGAACCACCGGAGCUUCGGGAAGUGCCGGAGCUGCCGCCUGAUCGGUUCAGAGAGUCACUGCUGCUUUGUUUCUCGUGAAAAGUGUUGUUGCCGCGAUUCUUGAUGCCGCUGUUGAUAUUGUCUGAAAAUAAACAAAAGAGGAAUUGAUGAGUCUAACUACUGAGCUUUGACUAAAUCGAGACCGUGUGGUUAGGUUCUCGCCCCCCUACAGCUUUACCUUUUCAGGAACCAAAUGAAGAGGCAUUAAGGAGUGUUAUACUGCGUUUGGUUUAUAUAUUUUUGUAUUAAUUAGCUUAUUUUCUUCCCUCGUCUUUGUUAUUACAAAUUUGUAAGAGGGAUAGGAGUUGUAUGUUUUAUAUGUAAAUUGUAUUAUGAGUUAUUAUAUAAGGAGUUUUGUAUAUGAAUC